GAGAGAGGAAAAGUGCAGAUACGGGGUAAUGGAGAGCAGCGCGGGAGUCUUGGGGAUCUUGGCAUUUAGCACUUUAAUUGCGACGUGCGGUUUACAUCAUUAGAUAUAAAAGUCAAAGAAUUAAGCACGAACUACAAUCUUUAUUAGCCCAGUCGCUGUCCUGAGUGAGGCACCUCGUAUUUGGUAACCACAUCGUUAUCUGAAGCGAUUAAAUGGGGUAACUCCUGACGUUUCAUUCCAGAAAGCACCCGAAGCUGUGUUGUAGUUUUACAUAAGCCUUGUGAUUUUGAAAUUAGAAAAAAAGGGGUUGCUAUUAGUUAAGACUUACCUGCGGGAUUCUAAAGCCUUUAGAAUUUAUCUGUCGGGAUAGAACCUAAAGGCUAUUAAUGUGGUUUGGCGAUCAUAUCUUUUGUCAGAAUUUAUAAUUACCGAAAUUGGAAUGAACGUGAGAUGUUUUUCAUUUGCCUUUUUAAUCAAACCUGACAUUCCGACGCAGUAAGGUGUGACUUUUUAAGCAUUUUUUGUAGAGAGCAGAAAUAAAGCAGCUUUCAGAAGAAAAAGUAAAAUAAUUUGGGUUGCUUUAAAAAACCCUAAUUAUAAUCUCUCAUUUAAAACAAGUGCUUGAAAUGAAAACAUUCGAAUUUUCGCCCUUAAAAAACUUUUCUCUGGGGGAAGAAUUCCUUUGCAGUAAGAGAGCAUGCGUGAAUCCACCGCGUUCCUCUCUGGAUGUAUUGAAUACAAAAACUUGGGAGCAAGUAAUGCUAGAGAACAAUGGAUUGGAAGAAUUGGGAGGGUCUUGGUCGGCGUCUAAGAGUCUUUCUAAAACUAACGCCUUGGCCAUGGUCAUUCUGUGACAGUGCAAGGGACAAAGAACUCAUGGUCUCGAAGGCACCUCAUCCCUGACAAGCUGUGCUCCCUGGCUGGUGAGGAUAAGGAACUUUGUAAUACUCAUUGGCUUCCGGCAUCAGAUCACCCUGGAUAAGUGGACUAGCCAGGGUAUGGAUUUCCAAUGCUGAAUCAGAGCCAAUCUGGCGGCUCAGAAGACCAUCACAAUGCAGCAGUGCAUGGAGUCCAUUUACAGACUGACUUCCCUCAUCUUACUGCUGGGCAUGCUUCUACCACUGACCCUGAAGUAGUGAGGUGUUCUCUGGCCGGAGGUGUGAACUCAAGGAAGCUAUGAAGACAUCAACAGGUGCCUCCUGAAUAACCUCACCUCAGUCCUCCAAGAAAGCCUUCCUCCGCACAAGUUUUUCAAAGUUUAAAAAAUGACCUCAAAUUUGAGCGUACUGAGAUAUUUAAGAGGAAGUGUAUUGGUGUCUGCAAAUGACUUUGACUUGCAUCAAAAAAAUGAAGAUCGGUAUAUGGCUAGAGUGAUAGAUGGUCAUAUAUGUGAUAAGGCAAGUAGAAUAAAAUGCUAAUGGUUGCAUUUAGCGGGUAGGGGAGGAUUCAUUAUAAAUAUUUUUUUUAACUUGGCUGUAUGAAUAAUAAUAAAAAUGUUGGCAGAUAAACACUGUGUGUGCAAUGAAAAGGAGAAAUACGCCAUGCCUUUGCACCAAAUUUGACCCCUGAACCAUAAAUUCACCUUCUCUUUUACGUUACUUGAAGAAUGAAGGAUUCUGAGAGGUUAAGGAUAAUGUAGUGAGC